GAUGAACGCUGGCGGCGUGCCUAAUACAUGCAAGUCGAGCGAACGGACGAGAAGCUUGCUUCUCUGAUGUUAGCGGCGGACGGGUGAGUAACACGUGGAUAACCUACCUAUAAGACUGGGAUAACUUCGGGAAACCGUAGCUAAUACCGGAUAAUAUUUUGAACCGCAUGGUUCAAAAGUGAAAGACGGUCUUGCUGUCACUUAUAGAUGGAUCCGCGCUGCAUUAGCUAGUUGGUAAGGUAACGGCUUACCAAGGCAACGAUGCAUAGCCGACCUGAGAGGGUGAUCGGCCACACUGGAACUGAGACACGGUCCAGACUCCUACGGGAGGCAGCAGCAGGGAAUCUUCCGCAAUGGGCGAAAGCCUGACGGAGCAACGCCGCGGGAGUGAUGAAGGUCUUCGGAUCGUAAAACUCUGUUAUUAGGGAAGAACAUAUGUGUAAGUAACUGUGCACAUCUUGACGGUACCUAAUCAGAAAGCCACGGCUAACUACGU
rnacentral:rRNA from 1 species